UGGGGAAUCUUGCGCAAUGGACGAAAGUCUGACGCAGCGACGCCGCGUGGGUGAUGAAGGCCUUCGGGUUGUAAAGCCCUGUGGGGAGGGACGAAUAAGUGGUGGCUAAUAUCCACCAUGAUGACGGUACCUCCUUAGCAAGCACCGGCUAACUCUGUGCCAGCAGCCGCGGUAAGACAGAGGGUGCAAACGUUGUUCGGAAUUACUGGGCGUAAAGCGAGUGUAGGCGGUUUGGUAAGUCGGAUGUGAAAGCCCCGGGCUCAACCCGGGAAGUGCAUUCGAUACUGCCAAGCUAGAGUAUCGGAGAGGUUGGUGGAAUUCUCGGUGUAGAGGUGAAAUUCGUAGAUAUCGAGAGGAACACCGGUGGCGAAGGCGGCCAACUGGACGAAUACUGACGCUGAGACUCGAAAGCGUGGGGAGCAAACAGGAUUAGAUACCCAUGUAGUCCCUGAGCGGGCUGGCAAGGCGCAU
rnacentral:rRNA from 1 species